AACAACAUUUUUAUAUUAGACAUGGCUUGGGCCUACUACUGGAAUUUCCGGCCUAUAAGCCGUGACGUUUUUCACACGCUUUCAACCCUGCGGCUUAUGCGGUGAUGUGGCUAAUUUGUGCAUUUUUUUUUCUAACGGCCGGAAGGGGGCACUCGAGCGUAAAAGACGUUUUGAUUUUGAGGUCCGAGAAACCUUCACAGACCAAAACCAGGGGAACAUCAACUCACCUGAAGUAAGGAAACAUAAGCCACAUCGUGGAGUGACCACAGUCCAGAGUCUAUUGGACCAAGAAUCACCGUUAACGAGCUGGCCUCUCCAUAACGGAAGGGUUGCAGGUAAGCUGGAGCAUAUCCAAGGUAGAUUCCGGCGAAAGGCAGACGACACCCGAACUGGUCGCCAGUCAGUCGGAGAGCAGAUGUCGACACCAUCACUGAACGGGAAUCGAUCCCACGCUGUCCGCACCAAAGGCAGGCAGGCAGGGAGCCCUCUGUACUGGUAGCUGUGGGGGUCUGCAGUCGUAAUCCCGCCUCAUUCAUGAGGGUCCCCAUCAUGGCGGUCGGGGUCCCGCGGCCUCCGGUCCACUCCCGGUGCUGACGGUUCCUCACUUGGAUGUUCUGUACUCAGCCUCUGAUUAUAAGGUGCUUAUCCUCACAAGAGUCACUGGAGUGCCGAAGCUCUAUCGCAGCUGUCAACGGGCAGGAGGCGGGGUUACACCCUGAACUGGUUUCCACCCAAUCGGAGGGCACAUUGAGACAAACAGCCGCACUCACAAUCACACCCUUGGGCAAUUUAGAGCGUCCAAUUAAUGUUGCAUGUUUUUAGGAUGUGGGAGGAAACCGGAUUGCCCGGGGAAAACCGACGCAGGCACGGGGGAGAACGUGCAAACUCCACACAGGCGGGGCCGGGAUCGAACCCGGGUCCUCAGAACUGCGACGCCAACGCUUUCCAGCAGACCCACCGUGCCACCCUGUUCGAAGGCUUUUCACAUAUUGUCUGGUAUGGUCAAAAGUCAUCAAAUUCAUGACUCGAGUCCGACUCCAGUCCAAGUCAUGUGACUCAUAUCUAAACACUGGUGGUGUGGACCGAGUCCAUAAGACUCCGAUGUCACCCUUCGAACCCGUCAUAAUGGAAAUCGCUAAAUACUGUAUGGCUCCCAAUGCUACAUCCAUCCAUCAAUCUGUUUUCUUUGCCGCUUAUCCUCACGAGGGUUGCGGGGAGUGCCGGAGCCUAUCCCAGCUGUCAACGGGCAGGAGGCGGCGUUACACCCUGAACUGGUCGCCAGCCAAUCGCAGGGCACAUCGAAACAAACAGCUGCACCAAUUAAUGAACUGCGAGGCCAACGGUUUACCCGCUGCUCCACCGUGCCGCCCCCCUCUAACCAAGCGUCGUAAAGUGUAAACGCUCAUUUUAGUGUGUCAAUGGUAUGAAAGUGUCACUUUAGAGAGUAUUUCUCAUUUACAUAACUGUUAAAAAAGAAGAAGAACCGCAAUGCAAAACUCUCGUAUAAGACAAUAGUGUCCAUUAUUUAAGCGUCCCACAUUGUAAUUAAAAUAGGACCUCGCAGAAGGAUGGGCGCAUUACCAUUCAGGACUUAGGCAGACCGGGGGCUCCGGUGUAUA